GCAAGCCUCCCUGGGGAGUAGCCUCUUUCGGCCCGUCCGGAAGCGCCCGCGUCAACACUCUUGGCCCUUCCGGCCAUGGCGCCGGCAACCGACACGGUUUGGCGAGACCACGGACUUUUCCAUAGCUUCUGACCGGGCGAUAUGGAAAGUCUGUGUGUUUCGCCCGGUCG
rnacentral:sRNA from 2 species